rnacentral:rRNA from 1 species
GACGAACGCUGGCGGCGUGCCUAAUACAUGCAAGUAGAACGCUGAAGGAGGAGCUUGCUUCUCUGGAUGAGUUGCGAACGGGUGAGUAACGCGUAGGUAACCUGCCUGGUAGCGGGGGAUAACUAUUCGAAACGAUAGCUAAUACCGCAUAAGAGUAGAUGUUGCAUGACAUUUGCUUAAAAGGUGCAAUUGCAUCACUACCAGAUGGACCUGCGUUGUAUUAGCUAGUUGGUGGGGUAACGGCUUACCAAGGCGACGAUACAUAGCCGACCUGAGAGGGUGAGCGGCCAAACUGGGACGGAGACACGGCCCAGACUCCUACGGGAGGCAGCAGGAGGGAAUUUUCGGCAAUGGACGGAAGUGUGACCGAGCAACGCCGCGUGAGUGAAGAAGGUAUUCGGAUCGUAAAGCUCUGUUGUAAGAGAAGAACGAGUGUGAGAGUGGAAAGGUCACACUGUGACGGUAUCUUACCAGAAAGGGACGGCUAACUACGUG